UCCUUCUAACUCAUGUAAAGCACUUUGAACUGCCUUGUUGCUUGAAUUAUGCUAUAUAAAUAAAAUUAUUUGACCUAAAUCCUCCAGGAUUGUUUUGGGUUGAGCUCAAGAGGAUCCAAACAAAACGCUUAAAGGUUUAUGGAUGCCCCAACUACAUAUACUGCUGUUCAAUUGACAAAAGCCAUAUUAAAACUUCUACAAAUGAACCUGUUGUAUUUCUGGUUUUUCAGUGAUAUUUUAAUGUUUAUCUGUUCGACUCUCUUUCUGUUCAAGCGCUAAAUGGAAACUGAGGGACACAGAACAGACUGAAACACUAAAGCCGAGGCAAGAGAAAUAGGUCAGGCAGGCAACUGCAGCAGAAACCAGUUUCUUCCUCGGGGUUUUAAAUCCCUCCCAAGCUUCAGAAAGUCGUUAAGCCUACAAAUUUCACCUGAGGGCCCUCUAACAUGCAGGCAUGCCUGGAAGACUUUUAAAGCUUUGAACCCAGAAGGCGUCAUAAUGAGAUCCCUGGACUACCUGGGUUCUCUUAAUGAGCGAGGGUUCGACUCCAAGCUAAACAUUUUACAACAAAGUUAGUUAGCAGCAGUAAAUCAUCAGCCCAGAGGAGUUAUCCACCAACAGAGGGCGAUAGAGAGGCGGAGCUACAAACUGUUGAGAAAUCCAAGCUGGCAAAUAACAAGCGAUAAUUUUAUACCCAGUAUAAAUUAAGAAGUCCGUAUCCCACCCAGUUCUGUGUUUAUAGCAAUUAUUUGUGGAGUACUUGGCAUCCAAGAAGCUGAGUUACCACGACAGACUACAGCAGCUAUGCAACAGGCCUGUUUUUAUAGCGCUGGCGAGCUUUUCCAUCCACGUUUGUAUACAGAAUUACAUGUCAGUCUUAAAAUAAAAUAGACUCGCAUUACUGGUCUGUAAUUGUCUCGACUAAAAGAAGCAGCGACGUUGCAUCAGAGGCCAAACGUUACAGAUCUACAGACUCUGCUGCACAUUUUCACACCACAAGCCUUUAACUAGACCGUAUACAUGCACACGAAGGCCGGGGAUGAAAAAACAAACUACAAAUAAUAGUUAAUGUAGUGGUUGCAGACUCAGCAGAAUGUGAGUACAUUUGCCGUCAUCCAUCAUCUCUGUACUGUAGGCAUAUGAUCACUCACAGAUACAGCAUGUGGGCUCAUAAGCCGUCUCUCCUCUCGCUGCUCUCUCAACAGCAUCUCACGUCUAAGUUUGGACAGUGAGGCUGUCCCUCCGACGCCGCCGUUCGCCACCAUCACGCUGUGUGUGUUACGGCCUGAAGCGUCCUCAGGAACCAGACACCGAGCCCUGCGGACCCGCAUGCUGCUGGGCUUGUUACCGCGGCUAUUUUAAAACGCCGCCGCCGGCUGAUGAAGUGUUGACAAACUCACUUUGGGUUGCUAUGACUUCAAGAGGCAGGUCACUUUCAUACAGAAGAGUAACAACAAAACCUGAUCUGACCUCUUGUUAUGAUUAAAAAUAUUCCUGUUGUUUCAUCUUA